CUUAUCAAGAGUGGCAGAGGGAUAGGCCCUGUGAAGCCCGGCAACCGCCCGAAAGGGAAACGGUGCUAAAUCCUACAAGAUUUUAGAAUCUUGAAAGAUGAGG
rnacentral:ncRNA from 1 species